UACGUAGGGUGCAAGCGUUGUCCGGAAUUAUUGGGCGUAAAGAGCUCGUAGGCGGUUCGUCGCGUCGGCUGUGAAAACCUGAGGCUCAACCUCAGGCCUGCAGUCGAUACGGGCGGACUUGAGUACUGCAGGGGAGACUGGAAGUUCCUGGUGUAGCGGUGAAAUGCGCAGAUAUCAGGAGGAACACCGGUGGCGAAGGCGGGG
rnacentral:rRNA from 1 species